UGGCCCUGAUCGUGGAGUGAGUCCUA
rnacentral:piRNA from 1 species